GAGGAAUAUUGCUCAAUGGACGAAAGUCUGAAGCAGCAACGCCGCGUGAGGGAUGAAGGUACUCUGCAUUGUAAACCUCUGUAGUCGGGGACAAAAAACGGGUUAUUACCCGUCUGAUGGUACCCGAAAAGUAAGGAUCGGCUAACUACGUGCCAGCAGCCGCGGUAAUACGUAGGAUCCAAGCGUUGUCCGGAUUUACUGGGUGUAAAGGGUGCGCAGGCGGACUUGUUAGUCAGAGGUGAAAUCUCACUGCUCAACAGUGAAACUGCCUCUGAUACUGCAGGUCUUGAAUCCAGAAGAGAGUUGUGGAAUUCCGAGUGUAGCAGUGAAAUGUGUAGAUAUUCGGAAGAACACCAGCGGCGAAGGCAGCAACGUGGUCUGGUAUUGACGCUCAGGCACGAAAGCAUGGGGAUCAAA
rnacentral:rRNA from 1 species